rnacentral:rRNA from 1 species
UACGGAGGGCGCAAGCGUUGUCCGGAAUUAUUGGGCGUAAAGAGCUCGUAGGCGGCUUGUCACGUCGGAUGUGAAAGCCCGGGGCUUAACCCCGGGUCUGCAUUCGAUACGGGCUAGCUAGAGUGUGGUAGGGGAGAUCGGAAUUCCUGGUGUAGCGGUGAAAUGCGCAGAUAUCAGGAGGAACACCGGUGGCGAAGGCGGAUCUCUGGGCCAUUACUGACGCUGAGGAGCGAAAGCGUGGGGAGCAAACAGG